rnacentral:rRNA from 1 species
AUGAACGCUGGCGGCGUGCCUAAUACAUGCAAGUCGAGCGAACAGAUGAGGAGCUUGCUCCUCUGACGUUAGCGGCGGACGGGUGAGUAACACGUGGAUAACCUACCUAUAAGACUGGGAUAACUUCGGGAAACCGGAGCUAAUACCGGAUAAUAUAUUGAACCGCAUGGUUCAAUAGUGAAAGACGGUUUUGCUGUCACUUAUAUAUGGAUCCGCGCCGCAUUAGCUAGUUGGUAAGGUAACGGCUUACCAAGGCAACGAUGCGUAGCCGACCUGAGAGGGUGAUCGGCCACACUGGAACUGAGACACGGUCCAGACUCCUACGGGAGGCAGCAGUAGGGAAUCUUCCGCAAUGGGCGAAAGCCUGACGGAGCAACGCCGCGUGAGUGAUGAAGGUCUUCGGAUCGUAAAACUCUGUUAUUAGGGAAGAACAAAUGUGUAAGUAACUAUGCACGUCUUGACGGUACCUAAUCAGAAAGCCACGGCUAACUACGUG